CCUACGGGGGGCAGCAGUGGGGAAUAUUGGACAAUGGGCGAAAGCCUGAUCCAGCCAUGCCGCGUGUGUGAAGAAGGCCUUCGGGUUGUAAAGCACUUUCAGUGGGGAAGAAAGCCUUGGGGCUAAUACCCUCGAGGAAGGACAUCACCCACAGAAGAAGCACCGGCUAACUCCGUGCCAGCAGCCGCGGUAAUACGGAGGGUGCGAGCGUUAAUCGGAAUUACUGGGCGUAAAGCGCGCGUAGGCGGUCUGAUAAGCCGGUUGUGAAAGCCCCGGGCUCAACCUGGGAACGGCAUCCGGAACUGGCAGGCUAGAGUGCAGGAGAGGAAGGUAGAAUUCCCGGUGUAGCGGUGAAAUGCGUAGAGAUCGGGAGGAAUACCAGUGGCGAAGGCGGCCUUCUGGACUGACACUGACGCUGAGGUGCGAAAGCGUGGGUAGCAAACAGGAUUAGAUACCCGAGUAGUC
rnacentral:rRNA from 1 species